rnacentral:rRNA from 1 species
GAUGAACGCUGGCGGCGUGCCUAAUACAUGCAAGUCGAGCGAAAAGAUAAGGAGCUUGCUCCUUUGACGUUAGCGGCGGACGGGUGAGUAACACGUGGGUAACCUACCUAUAAGACUGGAAUAACUCCGGGAAACCGGGGCUAAUGCCGGAUAACAUUUAGAACCGCAUGGUUCUAAAGUGAAAGCUGGUUUUGCUAUCACUUCUAGAUGGACCCGCGCCGUAUUAGCUAGUUGGUAAGGUAACGGCUUACCAAGGCAACGAUACGUAGCCGACCUGAGAGGGGGUUCGGCCACACUGGAACUGAGACACGGUCCAGAGUCCUACGGGAGGCAGCAGUAGGGAAUCUUCCGCGAUGUGCGAAAGCCUGACGAAGCAACGCCGGGUGAGUGAUGAGGGUCUGCGGAUCGUAAGACUCUGUUAUUAUGGAAGAACAAAUUUGUAAGUAACUGUGCACGUCUUGACAGUACCUAAUCAGAAAGCCACGGCUAACUACGUG